rnacentral:rRNA from 1 species
UACAGAGGUGGCAAGCGUUGUUCGGAAUUACUGGGCGUAAAGGGCGCGUAGGCGGCUUGGUCAGUCCCGUGUGAAAUCCCUCGGCUCAACUGAGGAACUGCACGGGAAACUGCCUGGCUUGAGUUCGGGAGAGGGAAGCGGAAUUCCGGGUGUAGCGGUGAAAUGCGUAGAUAUCAGGAGGAACACCGGUGGCGAAGGCGGGUCUCUGGGCCGAUACUGACGCUGAGGAGCGAAAGCGUGGGGAGCGAACAGG